CUCGGCCGUGGACGGGACGGGGUGUGCAAAGGCAGGGAGGGCAGAGGACGCUGCAUCUGACCCCACGGCCACCUCUGCUUUGGCAGGACACCCAGGGCUGGCCUGACCUAACCCUGACAGCAGCUGCCAGGAAAACAGGGAGGCCCGGCACGGCCUGAAACGGAGGACACGUCGGGCUGUCCAUCUGCAACCUUCCCGAGGCUUCACAGGGGUGGGGACUGGACACAGAGCCACAGGCGAGUAUAGACACAGUGAGUCUACAUUUAUGAUCCACAGGGGGGUUCACACACACACACACACACACACGCCUGGCUCCCUUCCCUCUGUUGCAGCAAAAAGAGAAGUGAAGUCUUCCCUUCCCUGAGAACAAGGAAGAUAAAGGGAACAAUAAACAGGCUAGAGAAGAAACAUAACCUGGCCUGAAAGAGUUAAUCAUGUUGCAAUGUAAAUAGAGGUGAGACUUUUCUUUCUUCUUCUCCCGAGAGCAAGGAAAGCAAAGGGAACAGCGAACAGGCUAGAGAAGAAACAUAAGGUGGCCUGAAAGAGUUAAUCACUCCUUGGUUUACUUUAACAUGUUGCUAAUUUGUAGUACAUAGAUUUGUACUUUACAAAGCUAACCUCACUCCCUGACACUAUGUGAUUUACAUUCGGUACCCAUCACCCCUAACUCUGUGUGAGUUACAUCCCCUGCCUCUCACCCCCUAACCUUAUUAUGUCCCUGCACUUACAUUCUAUAUGCCCCUGGUAAGAAAUCACCCCCUAUAGGUUUUGCAUUUCAGAAACAAGGUCACUGGCCAAUAAACCAGAGGCAAACAGACACAGUUACCAGACUGCCGGACCCCAAUUACCGGGGUGGCCUGACGCCAGCUAUGACUGUUUUGAAAUAAUGCAAAGGAAAGGAAGAAUGCAAGACCUUCACUACUUUGCUCCUUAUCCUAUACCCCGGACUUCGAGCCCCACAUAUUAAAUCUUCCCUGAUUCCCAAGGAGGGAGGGCACAGCUCUGGAGGCGCUAGCCUGCUGUGUCUUCCCUUCUGCCUGGCAGAAAAAUAAAGCCAUCUCUCUCUUCCUCCCAAAUCCCUGUCUCUAUUUCUGUUCGGCCUCGGUGCACAGGGAAGCCGAUACUUCGGCAACAAAAUGGGGGCUUGUCCGGGGUCUGCUGGCGGGCAGGCAGCCCCGCAGGGCCCCUCGGCUUGAUCGGAAGCUCGGGGAUAUCUCUCUGCACGCCAGGCUCCUUCGGGAGAGCGGAGGGUUGGAGGGUUUCUCUGAGGCCGGAUCGCCAGGGACUCCCUGCCGCAGGGCUGUGCCCCAUCACACCCGGUCUGUCGACUCGGCGGCGGAGCUCCGAGGCUGCGGCGGAGGACGGGGGAGAGGCUGACCUAGCAGCUGCCGAGGCUCCUUUUGCCUUGAGGACACCUUCUCUUCUCUUGGCCGCGCCGGCCUGCACUUCCACUCCGAGAAAACGCUGAAUAUUGGAGCAUCAGAAAGAGGGCGAACGGAAGUCUCGACGCACCCGUCAGCACCUACGACACUUACAGUUUCACUCUGAAGCUUUUGCAAAGAUGCUUCCUCUUCAAGAAGAUUUAUAAAAAGGACUUUUGGAUAAAUACAAGUUUCUGACUUUCAGACCAUAAUGCUAAACUGGAUAUAAAGAAGCUCUUCUCCUCAAGCUACUUAUGGUUUACAACAAUUUGGUAAUUUACACCUACGGGUAAAAUUAAAACAUUUAUUUUUUCUCUCUAUCUGCUCCCUCCAGAGAUUGGAAACUCUUAGGUCCCCAGCAUCUUUAUCAGAUAAAUUAGGAAGGCUACCUCACUAACAGGUACAGAAAUCUCAAGGUAUUUUCGGGACCUUGAAAAGGGAGGAAUUCACCUAGAUCUGGUAAGCGAAAUCUGUGACAAGCCUUUGGUGUGACUUUCCUGAGAGGUCUUUUAAAAGUUCAGUCUGAGACUCCUUAUAAAAGUUUCAGGAAGCAAAAAGCCUAGAUGAUAAAUUACAGUUAUAUAAAUCAUCAGGCCAAGUUUAUUGAGACCAGACUGAAAUUUGGUUCUCUCUCUCUGUUAAGAGAACAAAGUUUUCUUGGGAUGCUGCUUUAAUAACAGACUAUGUAAAUUUCUUUGCCUUUAAGUGAUUUACAUUUGCUUUUAAAAUCUUUUGUUACUUAGGUAAAGUAAAUAAGUACUAUUUCACAAUGAUCUAUGAAGAUCAUGGCACACGUAAAUAAA